AGGUUGUCUCUGGUGUUACCUUGUUCUGCUAUUUCUGACAGUGGCUAGACUGUCCUAUAGGCCUGUGUGUCAGGAGUGCUGUAGACCUGUUUUCCUGUUUUCUUUCAGCCAGUUAUGGGAACAGAGUGAUCUGCUUUCGGGCAUGUUGUCUUUCCUGUCUACUGGUCUUCAGCUGUUCCUGUGGGCGUUUGUCCUGAGUCUACCAGAUACUGCUAACCAUCGAAUUUUACAAUUAUUUAUGCUAAUACACCUGAUUUAAAAGGAGUAUACUGUUCCUUUAUAGGCCAUUUAAGAACUCAGAUUGGAUUGCCUGGACCAAUUAUUGAGGGCAGUGUCACAAUAGAUUUAUAUACCAGGCAGCUUUUGGGCUUCACAUAGGGACAAUUAGACAAUCUCAUUCUUUAUAGCAUCAAAAUAGUAAUAGCUAGAGACAAUAUUUGAUAUUUCUAGAUUUACUUUUGACUAUUGACACCUUCUGAGACCUUCUGGUUACAAUUGCUUUAACAAGAGAAACAACUAAAAGUCAUUACAUACUUUACAAGGAGUGGGGACAGCUACGGCUCCUCAAAAAAGCAACAAGAUUCUUAUAU
rnacentral:lncRNA from 1 species